CGGGUGUUAUUGUUGGAGCAACGUGGUCUGAUCCCUGUAACAAAUAUCAACUUAGAUUGUAACAACUAAGAUG